UACGGAAGGCAGCAGUGGGGAAUAUUGGACAAUGGGCGCAAGCCUGAUCCAGCCAUGCCGCGUGUGUGAAGAAGGCCUUCGGGUUGUAAAGCACUUUUGUCCGGAAAGAAAAGCUUAGGGUUAAUAACCUUGAGUCAUGACGGUACCGGAAGAAUAAGCACCGGCUAACUUCGUGCCAGCAGCCGCGGUAAUACGAAGGGUGCAAGCGUUACUCGGAAUUACUGGGCGUAAAGCGUGCGUAGGUGGUUUUGUUAAGUCUGAUGUGAAAGCCCUGGGCUCAACCUGGGAAUGGCAUUGGAAACUGGCUUACUAGAGUGCGGUAGAGGGGUGUGGAAUUCCCGGUGUAGCAGUGAAAUGCGUAGAUAUCGGGAGGAACAUCUGUGGCGAAGGCGACACCCGUGGACCAGCACUGACACUGAGGCACGAAAGCGUGGGGAGCAAACAGGAUUAGAUACC
rnacentral:rRNA from 1 species